CACUGGACUAAACAAAGAACAGAGACUUUUUGUUUUCUGAAUAUUUUAUAUGUGGAUAUUAUUUAUUUGGCAGGAAUGCAAUUUUGUAUUAAAAUGUAUUUAAAUAUUUCUUAAAUAUUUCUAUUAAAUAGUUCUUCUUAACAGUCUUUUAAAAAAAAAAAAUAAUAAUAAUAAUGUUUCUAAUGAACAGAUACCAAUUUAAACUAUGGAAUUUAAUCAUUUAAAAACUGACCUUAACUGACCACACAUCUGACCUUGAAAAGACUAUAAAAGUAGAAUACACUGAAUAGAAAACAGAGACUGAGUUGGCUUUGAAGAAACUUUUACAGUGUGUAACAAGGUUUUUUUUUUCUGAAUGAAAUUUAAUUCAACAUACAGAAAAUGGCCCAAAUAAUAUGCAUCAUAUAUUUCCAAAGUUGCAAACAAACUUUAGGAAAUUUUGAACUUGUAAAAAUCAGACCAUCCUAGUUUCCGCAGUGCUGGAAGUUUGUCAGCGUUGUGUGCAAGCACACGUGUGUGUGUGUGUGUGAGAGAGAGAGUGAGUGUUCCCUGCUGUUUUGAGCACCCCAGAUGCAGUAACACACUUCAGAAAUGAGAGCGUUGUGUUCCUUCUGGUUGGAGAGGAGGCAGCCUGGGAAAGCCAGCAGCAUCUGGACAAUGCAGUCUCUGGAGUCCACUGCCUAGCAACAUCCCCCCAACCAGCGGCACGGUAACAAGCAUCCUAAAUGCAGAGUGACCAGGAAUAAUGGUGCCCUGUGCAGAUGGCCAUAGAGACUGGAUUUAAAUAGGAUGCGGGACAGGAAACGGCAUCGACAUUCCGCAGAGGGGCCUCGCUAUAGUGACAGACCCUGCCGGACACGUUCAGAGGUUGAAUGGACCAUCGCUGUGUGGAAACAUCUCUUGUUUGCUGUCUGAAUAGAUCUGAUGACUCAGUACUGUACAGAUCCAUGCAGGUGCACUCUUUUGUCAUGUACAGCACACUGUGCAUAAAAAUAUGUUGCAUGUCCCACUUAACCAC
ensembl:lncRNA